CGGGGCAUAGCGCAGUUUGGCUAGCGCGCCUGCCUUGGGAGCAGGAGGUCGGGGGUUCAAAUCCCUCUGCCCCGA
rnacentral:tRNA from 1 species